rnacentral:lncRNA from 1 species
CGGGUGUUUUGGAUAUGAUGGAUUAUGUAUGGAGGUUGUGAGUAGGUUAAUAUAAAAUCGAUCACUCUUGGUAAGAAGAGAUCGCAUCCUACUUGCUCUAAUCAAGUGAUGAUUCAAGGAGACUUUAAUCAAAGCAGAAUAAAAAUUAGAAAGAGUUUUUAAUAUUUUAUUAAUCAAAUCAUCGUUAUAAGAUUGAGAGAGAUAUGAAUAUGAAAUUGAAUUUGACAGGAUUCCAUAUUCAUAGUCAUUUUCAGGAUACAAUAUGAUUGUAGGAUUUAAUUACACGAUAACUUACCAUUGAAAGAUAUUUUUGAUAUUUUUAUUAAAAUUUUAUAUCUUUCGGAUAGACAUGAUACGUUGCUAGACAUCUAUCUUGUCUUAUAGGUUUGAUCGAAUUAAAGAGUUUAAUUCGAUCGUCAAUUAAAAAAAAUUUAAUUAUUGAAAUCGGAUUAGCUCGAUUGGAUCUAAAUCGGUUAGAUUGAAUUUUAUUCAAAGUAGGUUAACUUACAUCUGGAUCUACUGCUGGCUAGAUAUAGAACUCAGUGGGUCACGUAUAAAAAAAAUUGAUUAAAGAUCUAACUAUUAGAUGUGUGGCCUAAAAGUCAAUUAUUGGCUAACACAUUAUAAUUUUCUAAGACAUAAGUUUUUACUUAAUUUAUUGAAAUUAAAAAUUAUAGAUAAUUAUUUUUUUCUAGAGUAUUGUGUCUUAGAAAUAUCCAAGAAGUUAAUGGUCAAUGACAUAUAUUCUCAAGAGUUAAGAAUUUAAGACAUGUGUCAUUAUAGAUUAAUUUCUAAACUACUUCCAGUCAAUGAUCAUCACGGGGAUGGUGAUUGAUCCAACUAGACUGUGUUGGAUUUUGGUGGCACAAUGGAAGGUCUAAAUAUUUUAAAUUUUUUAUUCAAAUCCUUAGGUACACUGAAACUCAAGAAUCCAAAAUCUUUUGACUAUAGCAAUCAAAGCAUAAUUAAAAUAAAUAUGG